rnacentral:lncRNA from 1 species
AAUUUAUAGCUUAGUAUGUAUGUUGUUUAUGAAUACAUACUAUCCAACAUUAAGUGUAAGUGGAUAUUUCCCCACUUAACGUACUAAGUGUUUAAUGAUAGAACAAUAGGGUAAAUAACCUCCCAAAUAGUUUAGAAGUCGUGGGUCCUUAUUAGGUUAAGUGGGUAAUAUCCUGAUUGCCCCUACUUAAACUGCAUAAAAAUCUUGUCAUAGUGUAUACGUACACCAUACCGGUCGUAUCCACCAAUAUGAGUUGUACCUACCACUCAUACACUAGGC